rnacentral:rRNA from 1 species
UACGUAGGGGGCAAGCGUUGUCCGGAUUUAUUGGGCGUAAAGCGCUCGCAGGUGGUUCGUCGCGUCGUGCGUGAAAGACCCCGGCUCAACUGGGGAGGGUCGUGCGAUACGGGCGAACUGGAGGCCAGUAGGGGGAUGCGGAAUUCCGGGUGUAGUGGUGGAAUGCGUAGAGAUCCGGAGGAACACCAGCGGCGAAGGCGGCAUCCUGGACUGGUCCUGACGCUCAGGAGCGAAAGCGUGGGGAGCGAGCCGG